rnacentral:lncRNA from 1 species
CUGGAGACACUAUCCUCUUCACUCAAAAUAUCGGCACACACAUACACCCAAUCGCACACACACGCGCAAUCCUCUCCCUUCACAGCUUACUCAAAAUCGCACACUAAUCCGUACAUACCUAAAAAAAAAAUAGAGCCGAUUGAGAGAGAGGGUGACGAAUAGAGAGAGAUAUAGUUAUUUUGGUUUUGGAUUAUUGUUUUGGCGACACAGUCGUCGAAUUUAGACAUUUUCCGUCAGCUUAUUCCCUUCACGGCUCACUGGAGCUUAGAUUCAGACUGGUUUUGAGCUCUCAGUUAGACUUCGGAGAUGUUAGUUCUCGUUUGCUCGUCAUUCGUCUUCCGAUAUCGUGCCUUUGAAGGUUUUUGAUAUCGGGACGGUCUGUUUUUCGGUUGCUAUUUUGUUGUGGUUUCAUCGGUCUUCGCUACUAAUUUGAAGAUUAGAAUCUCAUUCGUCUCGAAUCGUUAAUCGCGAUCAAUUUUUGGUCUUCAAUCUUCGAUACCAAAUCUGGGGUUAUCGCAUUUUGGAUUGUUUCUCGAUUGAUUUGGAGAGUCGAGAUUUCGUUGGUAUUCUUCGAGGUUCUUGGACGGGCUCUUAUUUCUCUUAUUAAAUCAAUCGAAAGCUCCUGAGGUCCAAUUCUAACUUUUCUCUUUUUGAUUUUCUCGUGAUUACGAAUGAUUUGUAUGUUUGGGCAUAUUUGAAUCCUCGUUGUUUGUUUGUUUGACGUUGAAUUUAGAGUUGAAAACUUAAUUGAUAAAUUGUGUUUAGAAUUGGCUUAAUCAUUAAGUAGGAAUUUGGAGAGGGAAUCGGAAAUCUAUAAAGGGUGAAUUUUGGCUAAUUUGAUUCGUGGGUUGUUGUUUGACUUAGAAUGCAUUACUCGAACUUUAUGGUAGCAUGUUUUAGGUCGAGAUAGAAUAGACAAAUUUUAAGUUGGAUAGGCAAAAGUAGGAAUCGUGCAUAGUUGAAUGAUUUCAAAUGUUUGUGGAAUAGUUUAUUUUUCUCGCAUUUGAAAAAUGUAUUUAUUCGUCGGGGAAUGCCUCGAGGUCACAUUGUACUUAUUCAUCAGGGAAUGCCCCGACGUAUUAUGUACUCGGAGGAAGUGCGUGAUGAAGGCCCGAGACAUCGGGUAAAGCCUUGGAGCGUAGUUUAGGAUUAGUGUAGGUUUACUUUUCAGUUCUUUUUUUUUAUCUCAGGUUGUAAUAAUUGAACUGGACACUAUAAUUUUGAAUUUUUUUUGUUUGUUUGAUUGAUUUGUGUAUUUUUUUUGUGUGGUUUAUAUAUUCAUAAUGUGAAAAUUAGUCGAUACGCUCCACCAAGUGACCGUGGUCGAACUACGGGAUCGAGGGGUGUCUAACACCUUCCUCUCGGUCAACAGAAUUCCAUAGCCGGAAUCUCUGUUCGCGGAUCAGUGUUACAGAGUCAAAACCAUUUUUUUGAAAAAAGAUAUCCACGGGUGACUUGGCACACCCGAUUUAUGUCAAGUGGCGACUCUGAGUUUUGAAUGUAAAUAAUCCUUUUCGAAAUCAAUCUUCAUUUUGUCACUUUAAUAAUAAAAACCCUUUCGAACUAAAUUCUAACCUUUUCAAAAAAAAUUUAAAAAAAAGGGUGUGACAACUAACACCCUUGAGUCUAGAUCUAAGUUAAGCUUGAACAUUGUUGUUGGUAUUGUUGUUACGGUUUCAAGAACUUGAAUAUUGUUGAUGUUGUUGUGUGAACCAAAACUUGAAGGUGGUUUGAGCUCGUGUUGGUAUUUUGUUGUGGUUUUUAAGCUUGAAAAAGGUGGUGUUGAUUGUCGGAGGUUCAACGUGAGGCUAAGUUUUCAAACUUCUAUUGAAAGUUCUUGUUGUUCUAGACUAUCUUCAUGUCUAGUUGCAAAAAACCUGUUCAAUAGUGUUGUUUGAUCCAAAAGCCAAGUGGAAAGAAGUGAGGCCUUUGUUAGUCUUUAAAACAAAUCCCAAAAGCCUACCAAAAGGGAAAGGGGAACAAAAAGAUCUACAAAAGACUUAGUACUAAAAGAGGAAAAAAAACACUUUUCUAGGUGUCCAAAAUAGGAAAGGGCCAAAGGUGUCUUGUCCAAAAGGUAUAAGACAAGUCAAACCUUUUUGAAUAUGAAAAAGGGCUCCAAUCUUGAUAUUUUUCUUCCCCAAGGUCGGAAUACACUUCUUCAGGAAUUGAAAAUUGAACCAAAAUUUCAGAGUUGGAAAAAUAAAAACCUUUCAAAAACCGCAACCAAUCCUAGACCGCCACAUCACCUAUUUUUGUACAAUACCGAAACUUAGGGCUCAAAAUCUUGGAUUCUUAGUUUCUUAUUUUUGAUUCUUAGUUUCAUUUUUUUAUUCUUAUACUUAUUGGCAACUAGUAAAUAUCUACUAACUUGUAAAUUAAUUUUUGAAUAUGUUUCUUUCGUGUCUUCGUUAUUUGUGUGCUUUUCUCGUUUGUAACUGUAGUAACUUCUUUAUUUCAAGUUCAUAAGUGAACUUUGUUUUGUGUCUUGAGUCAAUUAAAACAAGAAUUCAUUCUGACCGCCAAGUAGGAUUGACAUCUUAUUGACUAUCGGAGUAUUAAGCAACUUUCAAUAUUUGCCGCUCCAAUUGUGAGAAUCACAAAGGUGGGUGUAUCGAGUGUUGGUAAGGAGCUUUUUGUUUUCUUUUGUUUGUUAUUGUCUUUUUUUUUUGGUUAGGUACCAUGGAUGCACAUAAUUUCAAGGCCACGUGUGAUCGCAUCCAUGACGAUCUUGAAGAUAUGAAACAACACAUUGAAAUGAUACGUCAAUUGUUAUCCAAACUCUUCCCUCAAAAUCCAAUUGUCCAAACAACUUGCGAUAAGAGCUUUCUGAAGGAAGUUGCUACCCAAUCUUGUGAUGGACUUUCACACCGAGGUAAAGUCGAACAUACUCAUGAACGUCAAGGUAAAAUAGCUAGCCCUUACAAUUUUGUGUAUGUGAAUGAUAAUUGUGUGGCUAGUAGUCUAUUGAGUGUGAGUUAUAGCUUGCCUAUAUGUGAGUCUAUUGUUUCUUUGUCACUUGAUGAUGAUGUACUUGUUGUGAGUGUGGAUACACUAGUUGAUCCUAUUGAUGACCGAAUUGACUCUUCUUAUAAGAUCGAUUUAUGUCCACCUAGUGUUGAAAUCAUUGUGUUGAAUGAAAGUACACCGUCUUGUGAAAUUUAUGGUGAAUCAACUUUUGUGUGAAAAUUGUCUACCACUUAAGGAUGUGUGUGAUGUGAUUAAUGAAUCGUGAUAAUGUUGAAAAUAUUGAUCAAAGGAAUAGGAGUGAACCCGAGAGCUAUUCUUGGGAUAAUCUUGCACUUGAAAUCUCUUUGAAACUUGAUAUUAAUCUUUUAGAGAGUGAUGAACGUGUUUGUUCCGAAUCUGUCCGUGAAAUAAAUCAUACUCUCUAAAAGUAUAAUGUCUUGUUUGAAGAUAAUAUAACCACUCCUAAUAAACCUAGUGGUGGAAAUGAUGGUAUACCUUGCCUUAGAAGCUAUAGUCGAUAUGUUAAUCCACUAUGGUGUGACAACAUUCCUCCUAGAAAGAUAAGAGUGCUCUUAAGGGUAAGGAAUGUGUGGUUUUAAAAACUACUUCUCCUUCUACUUUAUGUGACUUUAUUAUUGAGAGUACUCGUAAUGAUGAUUGUGAAAUUAAUAGUAAGUACACACAUGAGGGCGCCUUAGUAGAAAUCAACUUGAGUGAUACCUUUCUCUACUUUCUAGUUGCUCUAGAUAAUAUGUAUGCUAUUGUAGAGAGUAUGUCGUUUAUUUUGGGUGAAGACCACGAAAAAGGAGAGUGUUAUUUAAACCCGUAUCUAUAAUCACUCUUCCGUUUGACCCCGAUGUCAAAUAUAGAAUUGGUGAUGAUGAUGCACCCAACUUGUUGAUUAGUUUACAUAACAAGCAAAGUAUAUCUUUAGUAUAGAGCUUAGAAAAAUCAAUAUUAUUCUUUACUUAAAAAGAAUGAAUCUUGAAGUGAAUUGAUUACCUUAACAAUCACCUAAGAGUGUGAUUUUAAUUAUUACAUUCAUUAGGAGUUAAUAUUGAAAUAUACUUAAUUCUUAAUUUUGUAAUAAUAUUGAUCUCACUAUCUAUUCUUUCAUUAUUUUGUAAAUUCAUGUGUUUUUUGUGUUUGUCAUCUUGUUGUUCUUCUCACAUUUUGUGGAUUGUUUUGAUAUCUUGAUGGACUGAUUUAUAUCACCUUGGAAGCAAACUCAGGAUUUAAAGUCUCCGAGUGAUUGAAACGAUAAAUUUACUUAACACCUUAAAGACUCCGAAUUCUGAAUUCGGUUCUGGAUCCAAAGGUAUAGUAGCCAUGAUAUUUUUUUCAAAAGAACAGAAGUAAACGGAUCCAACUCCCCAUCAUUUCCUUUCUCUCCCUUUACUGUUUGAAUUAGUGACAUAGGAUCCGAAGUAAACAAGCUACAUCCAACAGUAUUUUCUACAUUACUAAAAAUAAACCUCACAAUACUUGUUAUUAAUUUUUAUUUGCUCUAAUUAGAUUAAACGUGACAACCCUCAAUAAAUCUCUUAUCAAUAUUUAACAAUUUAAAAAUAACACACACAACCUACAUGGAAUAAAUAAAAAAAGAAAAUUGGACAGAAUGCCGAAAGAUUCUUUUCUCAAUUUGGUGAGUUAUACUCACUAAUUUUCUUAUUUGAUUCUCCAUUUUACUUAUUUUUUUAGUAAUUAAGAUAAAACAAAUUUUUUUCAUAUUUUACUUUUGUAGGAUAUUAUUAAUUAUUUUUCUUAAUUAAGAUGAAGAAAAUAUUAGAUUUCUUUUGAGUAAUGUCUGCUCCAAAUUAUCAUUUUUUUUUAUAAGAUUCCUCUCAAAUUAUGUCCGAUCCUAAUUAUCCAGGAAACAAAAGUCAUUUCUGCCUGAAGAGGCAACACACAAACAGAAUACCAGAAGCAUUACACUGCAUUAAACACCAACCAAACAAUAUCAUGCCCAUACAAUUACCCCAAAUUACCUUUUCAUAAUACUUGCAAAAACUUGAAAAACAUAACAAAAAAGCAUAAAGAGCAAGACACGAGUACUUCUAGAUAGAUCCCUACCAUUUUAUUUGUACUAACAUAUAAUUCCACUAACCAUCAAACAUAUCCAGAAAACAGAGCAACAUGUUUAACAUUUCAAGCAACUUUAACCUCAUCCAGAAAACAGAGCAACAUGUUUAACAUUUCAAGCAACUUUAACCUCAUCCAGAAAACAGAGCAACAUGUUUAACAUUUCAAGCAACUUUAACCUCAUCCAGAAAACAGAGCAACAUGUUUAACAUUUCAAGCAACUUUAACCUCAAUUGUUUUGGGCUUCUUUGGUUCAGGAGGCGGCAACUUCUGAACAGUGACGGUUAACACCCCAUCCUGACAAACAGCAGAAAUUGCACCAGUAUUAGCAUUCUCUGGCAGAGUAAACUUCCUCAUGAAUUUCCCAACCCUUCUCUCCAUUCUGAUAUACUUUGCACCUUCUUUCUCUUCUUCCCUCUUCC